rnacentral:sRNA from 1 species
UAUAUCAAUAAUAAUACGUUUAUGAAGCUUUGUCAUUCAGUCAUCAUGAUCUGAUUCACAUUUUUCAUAGACCAUGAUAUGCAUCUCAACAGAUUCAUGAGACAAGGCAAAAGUAUACACCAAGCAAUUACAAUAUCAAGCAACAACCAAAUGAUCAGAAUCGAACGCAUAUUUCAGGAGGAGAAUCAGCGUUUUAUCUUUGUUUCCAGAAACUAAGUCUCUUAAUCUCCGCUAAUUGUCUUGGUGAAUUAUUUUAAAAUCCUAUACACAAUUUUGUUUCAUUUCUUAACACGAAGAUAAUUUUGUUGUAUGUAUUUUGAAUCAUACGGGUUGUUGAUGUAUGUUUCUGCCUUGCCUCUUGAAUUUGUGAAUGGGAGCUAGAUUUUGUUGAAUAUCGUUGAUCUAAAAUUUAAGAAAAGAAAAGAGGUCUUGAUUUCCAAUAUGUCCUAUGCUGCAAGUUCUCUUUUGAAAUUGUUGUGCUGUUGUGAUACCUUCCGACUAACUCCAAAGAGAAAUGAAGGAAAUGGUUUUCUUCAUGUUUUAUUACUCCUUAGCCGUGCACCUUGAGUUAGAAAAUAGUCAUUUCUUGCUGAUAUCUUGAAUUAUUAUAUGCAUAUAAUAAGGGUAGAUCAUACUUUUUAGUGAUUCACAAAGGUUAAAACGUCCUUGACCUUGGUCCCGUUACUGUAUGAACCAUAUACCUCUUAAUAUAUUCCAUAACUGCUACACACAUACCUCAAUUAUUUUAUUUUGGGAAAUAUAAUAGGUAUGCAUGGUGUUAGGCAAGAAAAUCACGUGAAGAGCUUUAGGGUGGAGGAAUAUUCCAAGGUGUCUAUACUUUUUCAUUAUGGUG